rnacentral:misc_RNA from 1 species
GAUGAAGAACGUAGCGAAAUGCGAUAAGUAAUGUGAAUUGCAGAAUCCAGUGAAUCAUCGAAUGUUUGAACGCACAUUGCGCCCGCCAGCAUUCUGGCGGGCAUGCCUGUUCGAGCGUCAUUUCAACCCUCGACCGCCCCUUGGGGAGGUCGGCGUUGGGGACCGGCAGCACACCGCCGGCCCUGAAAUGGAGUGGCGGCCCGUCUGCGGCGACCUCUGCGUAGUAAUACAGCUUGCACCGGAACCCCGACGCGGCCACGCCGUAAAACACCCAACUUCUGAACGUUGACCUCGAAUCAGGUAGGACUACCCGCUGAACUUAAGCAUAUCAAUAAGCGGAGGA